CUGUUCGAUUUGGCAGCACAUAUACUAAAAUUGAAAUGAUACAGAGAAAAUUAGCAUGGCCCCUAUGCUAGGAUGGCAGGCAAAUUUGUGAAGCAUUCCAUAAUUUU
ensembl:snRNA U6 U6 spliceosomal RNA